GCCAGCCACUGUCCUAUAGUGUUUCUUGUGUAUUUUCUUACCCAUUUUCUUCAUGUGCAGUGUAUGGCAGUAUAAUCAUUUUAAUAUUUGUGUCGUAGGUUGCGCUCCUCUGCGGCGUAGGCCUGGGCCCGGGUGGAACGCUGCCUGCCUUCAGUGUAGGGACUGCACGCAGGCACUGCAACCCAGCGGACCGGGCCUGCCCAACUGAGGAGGGUAACUUAUAUAUGUAUUGAAUUGUAUUUGCCAUUUUUAUACUGGACAUGAAUCGACAUUUUAAACUGUUUCCAAACACUUAUUAAAUAAAGCUGUGUUAUGUUUUUGGAA